rnacentral:rRNA from 1 species
UUAAGUCAGGCAACAAGCGAGACCCAUGCGUUUAGUUACCAACUUCUCCUCCGGGAGAGGCGUACUCUAAACGGACUGCCCGCGCUAAGUGGGAGGAAGGAGUGGGCGACGGUAGGUCAGUAUGGUCCGAAACUUCUGGGCUACACGCGGCAUACAGUGCAUGGGACAAUGGGCUGCGACUCCGAGAGGAGGAGCCAAUCCCCUAAAUCCAUGCGUGGUUCGGAUUGAGGGUUGAAACUCACCCUCAUGAAGAUGGAAUGGCUAGUAAUCGCGUGUCACUAUCGCGCGGUGAAUGUGUCCCUGCUCCUUGCACA